GGUGAGGCCAGGUGAGUGUUGGUGUUGAUACAGGUGUUCAGGUGGAGGUGAGGCCAGGUGAGUGUUGGUGUUGAUACAGGUGUUCAGGUGGAGGUGAGGCCAGGUGAGUGUUGGUGUGGAUACAGGUGUGUUCAGGUGGAGGUGAGGCCAGGUGAGUGUUGAUACAGGUGUGUUCAGGCGGAGGUGAGGCCAGGUGAGUGUUGAUACAGGUGUGUUCAGGUGGAGGUGAGGCCAGGUGAGUGAUGGUGUUGAUACAGGUGUGUACAGGUGGAGGUGAGGCCAGGUGAGUGUUGAUACAGGUGUGUUCAGGUGGAGGUGAGGCCAGGUGAGUGAUGGUGUUGAUACAGGUGUGUUCAGGUGGAGGUGAGACCAGGUGAGUGUUGGUGUUGAUACAGGUGUGGUCAGGUGGAGGUGAGGCCAGGUGAGUGUUGGUGUUGAUACAGGUGUUCAGGUGGAGGUGAGGCCAGGUGAGUGAUGGUGUUGAUACAGGUGUGUUCAGGUGGAGGUGAGGCCAGGUGAGUGUUGAUACAGGUGUGUUCAGGCGGAGGUGAGGCCAGGUGAGUGUUGGUGUUGAUACAGGUGUUCAGGUGGAGGUGAGGCCAGGUGAGUGUUGGUGUUGAUACAGGUGUGUUCAGGUGGAGGUGAGGCCAGGUGAGUGAUGGUAUUGAUACAGGUGUGUUCAGGUGGAGGUGAGGCCAGGUGAGUGUUGGUGUUGAUACAGGUGUGGUUCUUUCAGGUGUGGUUCUUUCAGGUGUGUUU